rnacentral:other from 1 species
GAUCCCCUGCGAUGUGCGUGAUUAGCAUAAAGACUUUUUGAACCAACACCUAAGAACCGGGAGACUUUCCUUGUUAGCCGUGUGCAUGUCUGCCAGUAUCCUGUAAUAAAGGGAGGCAGAAAGCCUAAAGCAACAAUAAGACUCCCACUUUUUGAAACGGUUCAAAAUGGUGGUUGUUAACACGGCAAGGUGGGGGAUUU